AUUGAACGCUGGCGGCAUGCUUUACACAUGCAAGUCGAACGGUAACACGUCUUCGGAUGCUGACGAGUGGCGAACGCGUGAGUAACACUUCGGCACGGGCCUAGUACUGGGGGAUAACUGCUCGCAAGAGUAACUAAUACCGCAUAAGAUCUAAUGAUUAAAACAGGGGACCUUCAGGCCUUGCGCUACUAUAGCUGCCGAUGGCAGAUUAGCUAGUUGGUGGGAUAAAAGCUUACCAAGCCGACGAUCUGUAGCCGAUCUGAGAGGAGGAGCAGCCACACUGGAACUGAGACACGGUCCAGACUCCUACGGGAGGCAGCAGUGGGGAAUCUUCGACAAUGGGCGAAAGCCUGAUCCAGCAACGCCGCGUGCAGGAUGAAGGCCUUCGGGUUGUAAACUGCUUUUGUUCGGAAAGAAAAGACGCUCACGAAUCAAGAGGCUUCAUGACGGUACCGUAAGAAAAAGCACCGGCUAACUACGUG
rnacentral:rRNA from 1 species